GGGCACCGGCGGCCAGCAGCCUUGGCAAGAUUGAGAAUUGGUAGAGAGCGAGAACGGGGGAGAGAAUACAUCUGCUGGCGACAUGAUUAGUCCUGGCUACUGCCUCGCCCUUUCCGUCCUGCUGCUCGCCCUCACCGCUCACCUGCAGCUGCCCCCUGGCUGCGCAGCUGCUAGGGAGUUCCCUGCAGGAACCAGCUCGGCGGCCGCCAAGCCGCAGGCCCCGUUGGCCGUCGGCACCACCGCCCCCGCCGGGUUACAUGGCAAGCACACUACCCCACAAGUGACCGUUCAUGGCCGCACUACCAUAGGAGGUCUGCCAGGAGGCGGUACUGAAGGGCAAUACAAGGACUUGAAGGCCGAGUGCGCAUGCCAAGCAGGGUGCAGGAUCCCAGGAGCUCCAUGCCAAAGGUCUGCGCCCAUUUCGCGGCCGCCUGUGAGUCGAGCAAGUGGUCCUCGAGGCGCUUCCGGUGCCUGGAGUUGGUUCAUAGGGAAAGUCCAUGAUUUUUUUCAUGGUUCUCCACCACGCAUCCCGUGAACCGUCGUCCAUGUCUGCCCCUGCCCGUGCAGGCCGGGACGGAGUUAUAUUACUACCGUGUCUGUGAGCUAUACAUAGCUACCUUGGCAUCCGUGUGUGUCGGCCAUUUGGGAAGGUCCCUGCUGGUUAGCAAGCCUUCAUCGUUGAAUAAAAUGUCUGUAGUAGUAUGCAUUUGUGCUAUGUAAAAGUAAAACAGGGAUGUCGAUCAGCACUGUAUGUAUAGCAUGCAGGCGUGGGAUUUGUCUAUCGAUGCGAUUGGUUUCAGAUGGAUUA